UGCAAGAACGACACAUUCUCUGCCCAGGUGU
rnacentral:piRNA from 1 species